rnacentral:rRNA from 1 species
UACGGAGGAGGCAAGCGUUAUCCGGAAUUACUGGGCGUAAAGCGCACGUAGGUGGCUUGGCAAGUCGGGUGUGAAAUCCCCGGGCUCAACCUGGGAACUGCAUCCGAGACUGCCUUGCUAGAGUAUGGGAGAGGGAAGUGGAAUUUCCGGUGUAGCGGUGAAAUGCGUAGAUAUCGGAAGGAACAUCAGUGGCGAAGGCGACUUCCUGGACCAAUACUGACACUCAGGUGCGAAAGCGUGGGGAGCAAACAGG